CUCCUUUGUCGGAGGGGCCGCGCCGGCGGCGGGCGGAGCCCGCGGAGGCUGUCGCCGGCUCCCCGGCCCCCUCUCUACCCCGUUCCUCCCGCCCUCCCCGGGGCGGGGCGGUCGGCGCUCCGGCGGCGGUAACAGCAGCAGCGAGCAUGUCCUCGAGCAGGGCCAAGAAAGUGAAGAUGGCCACCAAGUCUUGCCCGGAGUGUGACCAGCAGGUUCCUGUUGCAUGUAAAUCCUGUCCCUGUGGCUAUAUAUUUAUUAGUCGAAAACUCUUGCAUGCUAAACGUGCUGAGAGAUCACCACCCAUCACAGAAAACAAGAGUGAGGCCAAAAGAAGACGGACAGAGAGAGUUAAACGAGAGAAGAUAAAUUCUGCAGUGAAUAAAGACUUAGAAAACCGAAAAAGAUCCAGGUCUAACAGCCAUUCAGAUCAUAGCAGACGAGGAAGAGGAAGACCUAAGAGUGCCUCAGCCAAAAAGCACGAGGAAGAAAGAGAGAAACAAGAAAAAGAAGUUGACAUGUAUGCUAACCUUUCAGAUGAAAAGGCCUUCGUAUUUUCAGUGGCCUUGGCGGAAAUAAACAGAAAAAUUAUCAAUCAAAGACUUAUUCUGUAACUUGUAAGCACAAUCUGAUGCGUUUAUAUGCAGAAUGGCUAGCGUAUUUCCAAGGUGUCGUGGACUCUCGGAAAGUGUUGUCUGCACCAUCAAGGACCAUGCUAUUUCCUAUAUUCUGCUGUUGUUCUUGGAAGUCGAAUUCUGUCUCUGCAAGUCAGAAAGAAAGCGUUUGCAAGAUUGUGGUGUGAUAUUCCCAUAGGAAGGAAAUUAAAUGGUUUCAUUUGGGGGAUUAUUCUGCUUGAUGACUUUGUAUUGUUUAUGAAUUCUCUCCAGAAAAUGAUUCCCUGUUGUUUUUCAAAUAUCACAUAUACUUUCUGUGGUCAGACUCGUGAAGUCUGAAAGGAAAGUGCCUGUUUUGUAACCACUGUUUGCUGGGUAUCUGCCUUGUCCAGAUGGUAAGUAGACGUGCAGGUUGUAUCUUCUUACUGGUAUUUCUAAAUGAUGAGGUUAUGCUACUUCCUUUUACUCUCAUCAGCUUUUUUUGUCUGUCUUUUAAAAGUGUAAUUCUCAGCAGUAUUGUCUUUGGACUGUUGACUUUAAAUGCCAAAGCAAAAGUCUGGUUGAGUGUGCAAAACUGAACGGUUUUGGUAGAAGUAGGUUUGGGGAAAGCAUUCAACAGCGUUGUCUUUGUUAAAGUGGUAUAGUGCAGUUUGAGCCAAAACUCUUGCAUUAGUAAGCACGUGGGGGGUUUGUUUUACCGGGGGGAAAAAAAAAAGCUCAAGCCCUGUAAAAUCCUGAGGGAGGACGUUUAGGAGGCAAUUGCAUUCAUAAAAUCUGACACACUAGCUUUUUGCUGCCUUUCAUUCACUCUUUUCUAAGAAGGGGAAUGCAAUUAAAUGUCUUUUUAAACACUUAAAACACUAAAUGUGGGUUUUUUUCAGUAUUACUCAUGCUUUUCAGUAUCACGUUACUUUAAUAGUGAGAAUUACCCAGUGAGGUUCUGCUACAGAGCUGAUUUCUGGGUAGAAGCAGAUUUUUAUUAAUAAAGCUAGACGAUCAAAUACUGAUUGUUUAUUAGUUAUUGGUUAAAGGAAGGAGCUAUGAUGAUUUUAAGCCAUAAGGGACUGAUCAGACGCAAACUUUGUUAACAAAGGCAGGAAACAGGGAAAGUGAUUUUUAAUUUUUAACUCCCAAGAAGUAACUGGGUCCCUUUCAACACUGGACAAGAUGAAUGGGUGUGGAAAUGCACUUAAACCACUAAUCUACAUUUGUCUUUAUUCCAGUAAAUGAGGAAUUGCGAACACAAGAUCUACUUCCCUACAUCAUGUAGACUUCUGCUUUCCAGAACUGUAGCCUGUCACAGAUACCAGUAGUAAGGACAGAUGAGUAACUCUUGAGAUUAGAGUAUAUGUUUGCAUGGUAAGUUAUUAAAGUCAGAAUGACAAAAGGGAAGUUCUGAUUUUGAAAACUUAAGGUUACGAUCAGGCGUGUGUUGCUUCUGUUGCUAGAAUGAAAUCUACUGUGUUAAGGGACAAAGGGAGCUACUAAUGCAGGCUCUGGUGUUGUGAUCUGUGUUCCCACAGAUAUCUAUUUAUUUCUGCUCCUGUACCUGUAAUUAAAGUUAUCUUUAGGGGACUGAAGUUUAAUGUUAGAUGUAUGUUAGAUGUGACAAAAUUUAACUUACGUGUUUUACAUUUAGAUGAUAAGUACUGCAAAAUGCAUUCAUACCUUUCAAAAGUUGAAGGCUGUUUUUUCUCCUCUGUCGGUGGAGGCUCUCUCGAAACGGUGGUUUGAGUUAAAUUUAUGUACUUCUUCCCUUUUGUCUUACCCACGUCUCUGCUGUCAGCUCUUUCCCACUUGUGGUCAUGCUAUCUUUCUUCCCCUGCUAUCUUCUAGUUUCUUCAAGAAAGCUGCGGUGGAAGCAGGCAGCCUUGAAAGUACCCCAGGGAGAGAGUGCUGCUUUGCCAGGGGAUCUUGCAAAGCAAGAGUCCUGACUUUCUCCCCAGAAACAGCCAGAAACAAACCAUUCUUUCCUGUAUAGACAGGACACUUCAGUAUCUUCCCAAAGCCCUGGUAACUCUGGCUGUGGUAUCUGAGGACAUAGCUUUACUGGAACAUAUUCAGUGGCUGAACUGGAACGCCUCUGCAUUGUGUGAAAUAGGUGUCAACCCGGUGGCAUCUCAAGAGCUCACUCUUUGUGUGGUAGAGAUGAUCAAUGGAUGAAACACUGUGGCAAAUCAUUGUAGAUCAUAGUUGUAAAAUGUGUUGGAUCACUAACGAAACUAAAAUAAAGCCAGUGACAGCUAAAUCAUGAGAGAUAAUGUACGGCAGCUUGGUCUUUCUUUAGAACUGCAUAGUUUCCAAGAAACAAGAAUAAAUAUGUAACACUUCAGGAAGCUGCUUAUGCAACACUUUUUUUUUUGUCUAGUUCCAGUAUAAGGAUCUUAGGCCCUGCCUUUGAGUGUCUUUGUGAUUCAGUUCCACUUAAUUUGUUUCACUGCAUUUUGUAGCAUGAGAAAAAUAAUCUUCUUUGAGAAAAAGUGAAUUAGGCUGCCCUUUUUUUAAUUAACUCAAAAGAAGACCAAGUAUGUCACCACCACAAAAUUACCACUCCACCUCCAUAUGAUCUCUACAUGUUGACUUAUCUGACCAGAUGAGCUUGAUGUUGUGAACUGAAUAGUUUAGGAUUGUACUGUAGAACUGCAUAUUUAUAAGCCACCAUCUAGCAGGCUCUGUUUUCUGCCGCUGCUUUUCCCCCUUUCUUCUGAAGAAAUGUGCUUCCGGUGUCGUAUCUCUGUAACAGCGUAUCAGACCAUCAAGCAGGUUCACAGUUCAAACUCUGCCUUGAGAUUCCUCUGCAUUUACUCUGUUGUGCUACUAGAUGGCAGCCUUAUGCCAAAGACAGUUACUGUCUAUUCAGGCGUUCUUACUAUUGCUACUAGGAAAAGCAUGGUAUUCCCUUUUUGGUGAAAAUAAUAUUAUUUUUCUUUAGAACGUCACUUACUCAUACCUUACUUAGGAGGUUAAAAUCCUGCUAAUGGGUAUUACUAGCAAUUUGCACCCAAAGUAGAUGGCUUCGUUAGUUGUGUGGGAUGUUAGCUUUUGAGCUGUGAAAAUUGGCUGAGAUUAAUAAUUUGUUAAGAUGAAAGAACUCUGAACUUUCAGUUGGCAAUUUAAUAAAAAAUGGUUGAAGGAAAAGGUUCUUCACCUCCCAUGGAAGUCUUAUAUAUGUAAGUUUUCUUUGGUCAAAUUUUACAAACAUCUCUAAUUUUCCUGUUAUUUUCACUCUAAUACUGUUAUGAUUGAUUAAAGAAAGUUGAAAAUGGGGCAAGGUAUUGGGGAUUUAGUCGCAGAUUGACAUCACCCUGUGGUUGAGCAGCAAGAUUUACAAGAGGGAGACUCGAAUUGAGAUAUUUGCUUCAAAUAUCAGGUCCUAAACAAGGACUUUGGGUUGGUUUUACUUAGUGUUUUAAAAAUUUUUGAGAUUUCUUAGCUUUUUUUAGAGAGAAACAGUGAUUGAUGUAGGCUGUUAUCAGCACAGUGUCUUCCUGGUAUCUUGGGCUGUAUUGUUGUGGGUGCUUAGUAUCUUAUUGCCUAACAGGACAUGAUGCUUGACUUUUGUUCUUUAAAAAUACUGAUAACCUUUAUGGUAUUGAUAACCUGUGAUUAAACAAUGUAACCUGAAAGCAGUCUUAAACCACUGUUUAGUUUAAAGCCUUUCUGAGUUGCUGUUAUCCCAAACGUGGGCCCCCUGCGUGCAUGAGCGUGUGCAGGUAUUGCUGGUGUCCUGGUUUGUAUCUCUAGGUGCAUCUAUGGUUUUGUUUGAAUUAGGAGUGUGUGUUUGAAGCAAAUCUUGUGAUAGUCUCUACUUCCAGUGCUUGUUUGCGUCACAGAAUGGUCUUGGGGAGCAGAAAGUAGAUUCCUUUUACAAUAAAAUGACCUUGAAGAUGUCCUUCAGCUGUUAGUGCUUAGUCUGCAGGACCAGGUCUGCCCAUAGCAGGUGUGGGGCUCUCAGUACCAACUGUUUCACUCUACAGAUUUCCACUUCUCUUGCUUCUUGCUUAUUAUGAAAAUAUAGCAGAGCAAAUGUUAACGAGUCUAACCAACACUUUCAGGUGAGUUGUCACUCUUCAAAGUAUUAGCAAUGUCAUCAGUGUAUUGUAAGCUUUAGGCUUCCUACUUUAUUUCACUGUAGGUUCGGAUGAAUAUCCUGUAGCAUAUUUAACUGUAGCAUUUCAAGAUGUUGCUUUCCCCAGUUGUUUGCCUACCCUUUUUGGAGGCUGUCACUAAGGUAGCAGUGAUGGUAGGACAGCUGUAGUAAGUUAUAGAAUAAUUUUUUUUCCUUUCUUUUAGGCUGUCGCUUUCAAAAUUCACUAGUGACUGCAGAAACUCUGGCUGCCCUAAAGUUAUAUCUGAUUAAACAGUUCGUCUACUUAAAGUAGUUGAUACGAAGGUGAUCAAUUUUGGUGCCUUGUGGUUGAUCAGACACUACAGAAAUACACAAUGUAUUAUUUCAGUAGAUACUGUGAAUUCAUAAUGAACUAAAAGUGUCUGUAAAUUAAUGUACUAGAGUGGGAUUUUUUUUCUGCUCUUCAGUAAGAGCUGUUUGUAUCUGCUAGCUAUUGAAUAGGGGCUCCAAUCUAAGUUAAAAGCAAGAAAUUGAUUAGGCAGAGGACAGUGGAAAUAGAUAAAUCUGUGUAUUUCUUUUUUUCUCCAGAAGAAAACUUAAACCUGCUUUCGCCGAAGUUGUUUAAUUUCAAGUUCAAAACAUGAUUCUCAUGAAUCAUUUGGUGUCGUCAUGCGGCGCAUCCCCCAGGAAGAGAUGGGGAUCUGAGUUGCUUUCUUUGGAGAAGUUGUGGAGCGGAAUGUAUGUGUGUGAACAUGCCCAUGCAAGCACCUGCAAUGAGGAGAUGGGUGCUGGAGGCUGCUGUGCAGGUGGUCUGGGCUCCAGGGUCCUGAUCCUCAAAAACCAGCAAAGCAGCAUUUCAUCUAAGGUCACUGAACUGGCUAGAGCAACAGGUCUUGACAUCCAGUGAGAAGUUUUCAAGAAAGUACUUUUAAAACAAAUUGUUUAUUUAACUGAAUGUUUAAAAUGAUGGAAAGUCUUUCUGACGCUUACUUAGAGGAGUGUUUUGAAAAUAGUACCUCAAAGCAGUGAAUAAUGGGCUAAACAGAAAUUGAGGAAGAACCCUAAUUAAGAUGCAUUUCUGGGAAACAAGAAGAUUAAUUAUUUGAACAUGGGGAAUGUGAAAAUGAAUUACUGCCUGCUUCUGGGAAACAUGUUUGAUCUGCACUUCUCACUAUUGUAGGAGUUUUUUGAAGGC